AACGUAGGUGACAAGCGUUAUCCGGAUUCACUGGGCGUAAAGCGCGUGCAGGUGGUUGGGUAAGUCGGGCAUGAAAACUCUUGGCUCAACUGAGAGAGGCUGUCCGAUACUGCUCGGCUUGAGGGUGUGAGAGGGAGGUGGAAUUCCGCGUGUAGUGGUGAAAUGCGUAGAUAUGCGGAGGAACACCAGUGGCGAAGGCGGCCUCCUGGCACACUCCUGACACUCAGACGCGAAAGCUAGGGGAGCGAACGGG
rnacentral:rRNA from 1 species